UACGGGGGGGGCAAGCGUUGUUCGGAAUUACUGGGCGUAAAGGGCGCGUAGGCGGCCAACUAAGUCAGACGUGAAAUCCCUCGGCUUAACCGGGGAACUGCGUCUGAUACUGGAUGGCUUGAGUUUGGGAGAGGGAUGCGGAAUUCCAGGUGUAGCGGUGAAAUGCGUAGAUAUCUGGAGGAACACCGGUGGCGAAGGCGGCAUCCUGGACCAACAAUGACGCUGAUGAGCGAAAGCCAGGGGAGCAAACGGG
rnacentral:rRNA from 1 species